CCCGACUGCUAUUUGGGUGAGGAUAAGCCAUGCGAGUUGUAUGGGAUACCUAAAUUUCCCAUGGCAAACUGCUUAGUAACACAUGAUCAACUUACCCUAUGGAGAAAAAUAACCUCGGGAAACUGAGGAUAAUGUUUCAUAGGUGAAUAGGCUUGGAAAAGUUUUUCAUCGAAAAGGAUAAGAAAAAUGGUUUUUAUCUGCCAUAGGAUAGGAUCGUGGUCGAUUAUGGUUGUUGGUGAGGUAACGGCUCACCAAGCCGACAAUCGAUAGGGGCCGUGAGAGCGGGAGCCCCAAGAUGGGUACUGAGACAGCGACCCAGGCCUUACGAGGCGCAGCAGGCGCGGAACCUCCGCAAUACACGAAAGUGUGACGGGGUUACCCAAAGUGUUCUUUUAAGAACUGUGGUAGGUGAGUAAUAUCCCCUACUAGAAAGGAGAGGGCAAGGCUGGUGCCAGCCGCCGCGGUAAAACCAGCUCUUCAAGUGGUCGGGAUAAUUAUUGGGCUUUAAGCGUUCGUAGCCGGUUUGAUAAGUCUCUGGUGAAAUCCUAUAGCUUAACUGUGGGACUUGCUGGAGAUACUAUUAGACUUGAGGUCGGGAGAGGUUAGCGGUACUCCCAGGGUAGGGGUGAAAUCCUGUAAUCCUGGGAGGACCACCUGUGGCGAAGGCGGCUAACUGGAACGAACCUGACGGUGAGGGACGAAAGCCAGGGGCGCGAACCGGAUUAGAUACCCGGGUAGUCCUGGCCGUAAACGAUGUGGACUUGGUGUUGGAAUGGCUUCGAGCUGCUCCAGUGCCGAAGGGAAGCUGUUAAGUCCACCGCCUGGGAAGUACGGUCGCAAGACUGAAACU
rnacentral:rRNA from 1 species